rnacentral:rRNA from 1 species
GACGAACGCUGGCGGCGUGCCUAAUACAUGCAAGUCGAACGCAGUGGGGACGGGUGAGUAACACGUGGGUAACCUCCCAUCAGAGGGGAUAACACUUGGAAACAGGUGCUAAACCGAUACUGAUGGAUGGACCCGCGGUGCAUUAGCUAGUUGGUGAGGUAACGGCUCACCAAGGCCACGAUGCAUAGCCGCCCGGAGAGGGGGACCGGCCACACGGGGACUGAGAAACGGCCCAAAUCCCUACGGGAGGCAGCAGUGGGAAAUCUUCGGAAAUGGACGAAAGUCUGACCGAGCAAGGCCGCGUGAGGGAAGAAGGUUUUCGGAUCGUAAAACUCUGUUGUUAGAGAAGCGGUAUCUAACCAGAAAGCCACGGCUAACUACGUGCCAGCAGCCGCGGUAAUUC